AUCCUCUCUCUGUGUCCAAAUUAAUUGAAGUCAAUAUUUGUAAACUGCCCAAAUUCUCCACUGUAAAUGGAUUUGCUAUUCGAAGAUGCACACCAAAGCCUCUUUGCGUCCUAAUUCAAUGGGACUAUGGUAUCGCUGUGCAGAAGUGCAGAGCCGUUCUAACGAUGUGCUAUGAGAUUGUUGAAGAGGAUGAAGGUGGCGUGAUACAUCC
rnacentral:lncRNA from 1 species